GGACGAACGCUGGCGGCGUGCUUAACACAUGCAAGUCGAGCGGUAAGGCCCUUUCGUGGGUACACGAGCGGCGAACGGGUGAGUAACACGUGGGUGACCUGCCCUCAGCUCUGGGAUAAGCCUGGGAAACCGGGUCUAAUACUGGAUAUGACUCCAUGACGCAUGUUGUAGGGGUGGAAAGCCUUGUGCGGCUGAGGAUGGGCCCGCGGCCUAUCAGCUUGUUGGUGGGGUGA
rnacentral:rRNA from 1 species